UGACACUGCAGACAGCAGAACAGAGGCGUGUGCGGGAGGUAUCCAGGCUCAAGGCAGAAGCAUUUCUGCAGAGCGGGCAAUUUGUCUGCUCGCGGGGGGGAAGCCGUCGAGGAGGGGUUUCUUAACUGCAGGAAUUACAAUAAUUAAUAUAUAUUGGCUGAACGUCUAUAUCUUCUAUCCGAUGUUUCCAGCUCAAUUGACACCCGCGGAUGAAGGGGAAAACGAGUAAACUAUACAAAAAUUAUCUAGAUACAUAGAGACAUCUAUAAAAGGCCGAAAGGGUCUAUCAGGAUGUUCCGCUCCCUCCUCUCCUUCGCAUCCCAAAACCCCUUCGCUUCGGCUUCAGAAUCCAGUUCCGUUGACAAAACCAACCUCUUCCCUACGGUGGAUCCUGAAGUCGAUGGCCCUGAUUGCGACAAGGAUUGUGCUGACUGCACAACCAAAUUCCCAUCGCGCUUUAAAGUCAAUUCCGACAGGGAGCUGUACGGGAGCAUCAAGCCGUACACCAAACAUGUCAUUGUCGCGACCGGCAAGACGGACUGGGAGCAACGGGUCGAGAAUGAGCGUGGCAGUCUGAUGGAGGGGUUUAAGCUGGGUUCGUUCAAGCCGAAGACGGGGAAAAUGAUGGUUUCAGCAUCGAACCUGCCCGUCGAUCGGGCGUGCAACGACGCUCAGGGACACGGCCAGGGCAAGAGCCAGGACAACGCAACAACCGUCCUCGUCUUGCCCGCAUUCAUCUUCGUCGACGCAGUCACCGUCUCGCGAAUACCAGAGUUCAUGGACCGCUUCAUCGACUCCUCCCCCGACCCAGUUGCAAACGCACAGGCCCAGGCCAAGCCCCAGCCCCAGCAACUGCAGGAUCCAGCAUCCUCAAGCACCCCCGACGCCCAAUCGAAACCCGAUAAUGGGGAACUAUCCCGUUCUGGCCCCGAAUCCCCACACAAGCUGACAACACGCCCCUGUCUCCGCGACCACCUCAUCCUCCUCUGCUCGCACCACCGCCGCGACGCCCGCUGCGGCAUCUCCGCUCCGCUCAUCCGACGCGAACUCGAACGCCACCUGCGCCCUCUUGGCCUUUACCGCGACGACGAUGACUCCCGGCCGGGCGGCGUGGGCAUCGUGUACGUCUCGCACGUCGGCGGCCACAAAUUCGCCGCGAACGUGUUGAUCUACCGUCGCGCGGCGGAGCAGAUGAUUUGGCUGGCGAGGGUGCGGCCGGCAGAUUGCGAGGGGAUUGUCAAGCAGACGGUGCUGAAGGGGAAGAUUGUGCAUGC
rnacentral:sRNA from 1 species